ACUAAGUUUCAACAACGGAUCUCUUGGCUCUCGCAUCGAUGAAGAACGCAGCGAAAUGCGAUAAGUAAUGUGAAUUGCAGAAUUCAGUGAAUCAUCGAAUCUUUGAACGCACCUUGCGCUCCUUGGUAUUCCUUGGAGCAUGCCUGUUUGAGUAUCAUGGAAU
rnacentral:rRNA from 1 species